AUUUAUAUAAUAUAAAAAGUAUAAUUGAUUUCCAAUCAAAAAGCCUAAAAGAUUUUAGUAUAAAUA
rnacentral:tRNA from 1 species